AGCAGCAGCAGCAGCAGCAACGCGGGGCUAGGAGUCAUUUCUGCCUGUCCGGACCUGGGGGUAAUCGGGAACGGUCACUGAGCGCUGAAGCGGGGCAUUCCCCACCACCCGAACCACCAGAGCUGACUCGACACCCCCAGCCUCUGACCAGCCCGGUCUCCAGCCUGCGCAGUCUUCCUGGGUGUCGAAGAAGGGGCCAACUGGACAGCGGUGGGACACUUACCACCUUCAAGGGAGGCACCUUGCUGUCCCCCAGUACAGAGGAAAUGAAGGCACAGAGAAGACAGGUAACUUACCCUCAAUCUCUCAACCAGAACUUGGCACGCUGCAGCAUUCAAACCCUCACCGCGUCCUGGCUUUUCCUGCACACCACCCAGCUUGCCUUCCCUGCCCAGCACCAGCAUGUACUGGCCUUCCCACGUCCAUCCACCUGGCGCUCUCUGAUCACCCCCUGCAUUUUCUCUGGCCCGAGCUGCUGCACCAGCCUGCCAUGGCAUCCUCUCCACUGUCACUUGAGCAGAACCGAGAAUCAUCAUGCCUGUGUCCCAGCGCCCUCAACACCUGGGGCCAACCCACCUCCCAUGGCUCAUGCCCCUCAACUACGGUCAAAUUACACCACCCCAACACCACCUCCAGAACCUGCUCUAGUCCAUAGUGACCUUUGCCCAAGCUCUUCCCUCAGGAACCCUGCCUGGAACAGCCACUCUUCCAUCAAGACUAGAAGCUCCCUCUUCCUGGAAGCUUUCCAGAGAUCGAAACUGGAGACCCCUGGAGGCCAGUGAUCCCAGGGCGGUGGAAAGUUGGGUAAGGUGUGCCAGCUGUCAGGUCUGGGGCCCACUGAGUCUAAAGCUGCCCACCCCUCUCAAGUUGGUGGGGCCAAUGAAAAGGCAAGUACCCAGUCCAGCAUCCCCAGGUUCUGUCUCUGGAUCAGUGUGGGCACCUUGUGGGUGGAUGGAGGUAAGCCUAGCCAACCUCUGUCUGACCCUUGUUGGCCCAUUGUGUCAGCCCUGCACCCUGGGUACAGGUCCAGGGGACCCCUAAAAGUCAGGUGGCCGUCCCUGAAGCAGCCAGGAGAGCCAGCCUCAGGGCCCCCCUGAGGACUGCCAGGCUAUGGGAGGUUAGGAACAGGGGCUCCAGAACAAAGUGGGCAGGUGGGUAGAGAGGUCCCAAGCGCCAGACUUCACAGACGGGUUUGUGAGGAGACAUCAUCGAAGCGUGAAGAGUUCCAGCAGGUGUGUAGGCUGCUAAGCACAGGUGUGUGCAAAGGUGGCUCUGAAGUGUGGGAGGGCAGAAGCAGGAAGAGGGUCCACAACUAGGCUGUGAAGUGCGAGGUGCGGAGACAAAGUAAGGUGAGAAUGAGGAUAGGUCACGAGCAGGUGAGUUGGCCCGAGGACAGUGAGGAGGCUUGGCCGAAACCGUAGGUGUAUGAGGGGGACGCCAGCGCGGUCAGCUCUCUGAGCGACAUGGCCUCGCGGGCGCGGGGACGCGCUGCCCCCUGGCGGUGGUACGGGGCCAUGGCGGCUUCUGAGAGCCUGGCCCCGGCCCCGCCCUGUCCCGCCACGUCCGAGCCCGCGGGCCUUCCCUACCUCCAGCCCAGGCCCCUUCCACCGGAAGCCCUCCCGCCAGCUGCUCGCCCACCCCCGGAAUCAGGGAAGCACGCCCCUCCCCGGUGCCCGCUGGACUUAAAUGGCUGGAUGCAAGUUCUGCACCGUUAAAAAAGAAACAGCAGUUAGCUAGCUUCUGGAUCUGAGUACCCUCAUUUGCAAUCCAGUCUCAAAGGAUGAGGACUACGUUCCACCUGCCCAGCACAGUCUCUGAGAUACGGAAAGCAUUGGAUGGGAGUAAUGGAACAUUGCAAAAGAAAGGAGCGAACUCGAAGACGUAGCAAUAGAAACUACGUGAAACAGAAAUGACUGGAAACAAAGCAUCAGGGAAAUGCGGUACACCUGCAAGCGGUGACACACAAGAGUCAUUGGAGGGCCUACAGAGAGGAGCUAGAGAUGGGACAAGGAGAACUAUUCUAAAAUUGGACCAACAUUUUCUAAAUGUGGUGACAACAUGAACCUACAGCUUCAAAAAGCUCAACAAAUUAAGCACAAGAACUGGAAGAAGGAGCCAGGUGGUGGCACAGUGACAAUACACAAUGCUCUGUGAAGCUGAGCACCUGGGAAGGUUCCUAGAUUGUGUCCAGAGGCCUUCCUGAGUAAGCCAGCACAGGCACACAUGUGCCCAUGAUCUGAGGCUGACUGCAUCUGAGAGUGGGUUGGGAGAAGACCCUGAUGGGGGUAGUCUCUCUCUGUCUCUCACUCAUGGAAGAAACAAACAACCUUUAAAAAAAAAAGAAACAAGAAGAAAAUUACAACAAAGCACAUCAUUAUCAAAAUGCUGAAAACCGGGAACCAGCAGUUGGCGUAAUAGCUAUGUCGCUGGACUCCCACGUA